UACGAAGGGGGCUAGCGUUGCUCGGAUUGACUGGGCGUAAAGGGCGCGUAGGCGGUUCGUACAGUCGGACGUGAAAUUCCUGGGCUCAACCUGGGGGCUGCGUUUGAUACGUGCGGACUUGAGUGCGGAAGAGGAUCGCGGAAUUCCCGGUGUAGAGGUGAAAUUUGUAGAUAUUCGGAAGAACACCAGUGGCGAAGGCGGCUCACUGGACCGGUAUUGACGCUGAGGUGCGAAAGCGUGGGGAGCAAACAGG
rnacentral:rRNA from 1 species